UCAUAUUGCAGCCUGUAUACAAUGCUGUGACGUUUAUGUGUCUCUUAUGUGUGAAGGCAUUACAUGCUGCUGUAAGCAUCUUCAGACACAGUACACAGAGCAAAGACAAAGUCACAGUGGAACCAGUGGAGACAUUUUUGUAGACAAUCUUGCCUAAUAAUGCCUGUGGUUCACUCUGAAUGUUUGAUCUCCACCUACUGUGGGGCUUUCUUCAAAAUUAUGUUUUGUUGACUUGUUCAGGGCUGGCCUGGUGGAGUCUAAAGUCAGACUCCUGGUGGGAAAUCUUGAGAGACUUCUGGACAUUUCCCUGGCCCAUGUGAACCUACAUUCCAUCACUGGACGCACAAAGGCCAAUAAGAAGGGGGAAUGGGCACAACAUGGCUAACUGGACUCCUCUUUAAUAACCAGGGGUCUAAAACCAUCAAAGUAGACCUGACCACCUGCCUCCUCUCUUUCAUGGACACGAUCUAUGGCCUAGCAACGAAAUAUAAGGUCUAUGAGAGAGGAUGACCAUAUCCACCACAUAUGCCAGGAGGGAAGGUUUGAGCUGGACGAUGCCUAAUGCCAACGCAGAAGGGUUUUCAGUCCGAAACCGACACCCACAGCGAGCCACCGAA